rnacentral:rRNA from 1 species
AACGAACGCUGGCGGCAGGCUUAACACAUGCAAGUCGAACGGGUGUAGCAAUACAUCAGUGGCAGACGGGUGAGUAACACGUGGGAACCUUCCUAGGGGUACGGAACAACUCAGGGAAACUUGAGCUAAUACCGUAUACGUCCGUGAGGAGAAAGAUUUAUCGCCCUUAGACGGGCCCGCGUCGGAUUAGCUAGUUGGUGGGGUGACGGCCUACCAAGGCGACGAUCCGUAGCUGAUCUUAGAGGAUGAUCAGCCAAACUGGGACUGAGACACGGCGCAGACUCCUACGGGAGGCAGCAGUGGGGAAUCGUGGACAAUGGGCGCAAGCCUGAUCCAGCCAUGCCGCGUGAGUGAAGAAGGUCUUCGGAUUGUAAAGCUCUUUUGCCAGGGACGAUAAUGACGGUACCUGGAGAAUAAGCCCCGGCAAACUUCGUGCCAGCAGCCGCCGUAACAC